rnacentral:rRNA from 1 species
AUUGAACGCUGGCGGCAGGCCUAACACAUGCAAGUCGAACGAGUGGCGGACGGGUGAGUAACGUCUGGGAAACUGCCAGAUGGAGGGGGAUAACUAGUGGAAACGGUAGCUAAUACCGCAUACCAUCAGAUGUUACCAGAUGGGAUUAGCUAGUUGGUGGGGUAACGGCUCACCAAGGCGACGAUCCCUAGCUGGUCUGAGAGGAUGACCGGCCACACUGGAACUGAGACACGGGCCAGACUCCUACGGGAGGAAGCAGUGGGGAAUAUUGCGCAAUGGGCGCAAGCCUGAUGCAGCCAUGCCGCGUGUGUGAAGAAGGCCUUCGGGUUGUAAAAUACUUUCAGCAGGGAGGCGUUACCCGCAGAGAAAGCACCGGCUAACUCCGUGCCAGCAGCCGCGGUAAUAC